AUUGAACGCUGGCGGCAGGCCUAACACAUGCAAGUCGAACGAGUGGCGGACGGGUGAGUAAUGUAUGGGAAACUGCCCGAUGGAGGGGGAUAACUACUGGAAACGGUAGCUAAUACCGCAUACUAUCAGAUGAGCCCAGAUGGGAUUAGCUAGUGGGUGGGGUAACGGCUCACCAAGGCGACGUUCCCUAGCUGGUCUGAGAGGAUGACCAGCCAAACUGGAACUGGAAAACGGUCCGGACUCCUACGGGAGGCAGAAGUGGGGAAAAUUGAACAAGGGGCGCAAGCCGGAUGCGGCCAUGCCGCGUGUAUAAAGAAGGCCUUCGGUUUGUAAAGUACUUUCAGCGGGGAGGCGUUACCCGCAGAAGAAGCACCGGCUAACUCCGUGCCAGCAGCCGCGGUAAUUC
rnacentral:rRNA from 1 species